rnacentral:rRNA from 1 species
CAGUGAUGUGAAGCGAAACUCAAAAAAGUAAGUCUCAGUUCGGAUUGAAGGCUGAAAUUCGCCUUCAUGAAGCCGGAAUUGCUAGUAAUGGCAGGUCAGCAUACUGCCGUGAAUACGUUCCCGGGCCUUGUACACACCGCCCGUCACACCAUGAGAGUUGGGGGCGCCCGAAGCCACUUAGCUAACCCUUUUGGGAAGCGAGUGUCGAAGGUGAAAUCAAUAACUGGGGUGAAGUCGUAACAAGGUAAC